GUUUGUUGUCACAUCAUUAUUUUCGGACUCUGUGAAAUUGCUAAUGAGGAACAGGCUGCUUUCAUUGGAACAGUUGUAUGUGUUUAAGGCUGCAGUGAGAUGUAUAUGGACCAGGCUAAACCACUGGCACAGGAAAGGUUAACGUUCUCCUUGCACUAACCAUCGACCACAGGUGUUUGUCCUCACUGCAUUUGUUACCAGGGAGCCCAGUUGGGUGAGGCUGGAGCCAACUUCAGCUGUAGUGGAUUAGCUUCUGAGCAAGAGAUUAUAAACCAUGUAAUCUGGCAUGUGAGACUCUUUCUGGUAGCUGAGGUAGGAACAACUGCUGUACUGGAGGAAGAUAAUGCCAAGAACUCUUUUGCUUGAUCCUCUAGGCUAUGAGCUGUUGCUUUAGAUGACCUUGGGAAUUUGUUCAGAUGGAUCAGAUUUCCCCCUGCUCAAGGUUGCUAUCAGCCAGCGUGGAUGACAGUCUAGGACCUCGGCCUGAGAGAUACAUAGAGACCGGAUCAUAUUCCACCAUAUUCUAUAGUCUACUUGGCUACUGCAGUCCUUCUAGUUCUGUGCCUUCCCUGCAUCUCUGCUUCCCUAUCUGCAGUGAGUGACAGGAUGGUGAUUUGCUGUCUCUGCAGUUUUAGGACCUCAUGAAUCCUAGGGCAAAUUCUCUCUCUCCUUCCAUUUAUGCACCAAACAAGACUUUCAGGAGGUGCCAAAAGUCUCCUGUAGGACUGAAGGACUUGGAUGUCACACAGCAUCCUCUCCAGCUGCCUGUGAUCAACAGUAACCUUACUGUAUUUCCCCACCUUGAUGAAAGGCAGCUCACAAGAUUGAAAUAACGGGCUUCAGAAGCAAGUGUGGCGUUAUACCACAUUAAUCCUCUGACACAGUAUUCAUCUGAAUGCCACAAUGGCUGCGAUACUCCUGUACAGACAUGUGAUUCAUUUACCAGCUUUUGCCAUAAUUAUCCUGCUCAGAAUUAGAAAGGAUUAAAUGCAACUUGGUGGUCCACGCACUGAAGAGAAGCAAUGGAAAUUUAUUUAUUUGUUAAAUAAGUGGUCCUAAUCACCUUUGUGAAGUAUUUUCCCAUAAUCACUGUUUUUAACAACUUAUCGCAAUAAAUGUUUGUUAGUAGCCA
rnacentral:lncRNA from 1 species